rnacentral:lncRNA from 1 species
UGUGGUUGGGGUAGAGGUGGCAGCACUGUCAGAGGAACCAACUUGCUGAGAAGGCGUUUGCAUUUCAAAGAGUUCAUUCAAAAAGUCAAAGGAAGCAUAUUUUAUGAUUCCUGAAAAUGAGGGACUCUGCCUCAGGUUGAGUUGACAAGACAUUGAACAGCGCCAAGAAUUUGUUUUGGCUCAUAGUUUAAGAAGUGAUGAAGUGAAUCCUGGAGGAAGACAUUGCUGCGGUAUCAUGAGAUCGCAUCAUCGUAGCUUCUGCAGUCAGGAGUGGAGAGUAGACAGGAAGUGGGAGUGUCUCCAAGAGCAUCCUAGACCAUCAACCCCCAGCAGCCUCAGUGGUGGACAAAGAUGGAGGUGUGCAUGGCUUGCAAGCGCGGACCUUGUGUCCCCAUUCCCCUCUGUGAGCAUUUAACCCAGCACACAGGCUGAACCACACCAGCACAAAUACAUCAUUGUGUAUUUUCAAUUAGUUUGCACUCUCCCUAGCUGCUGUCCUGGAUAAUUAGGGAAGCAAUUCACAUUGUGCCAAGAGCUGAUCCGAAGUGGUAUGCCUGGGAUAAUUAUCUGUCUGCAGUUCGGCUUCCUGGGCUCCUCCCAGGUCAGCUAGGCCGUAGGAGGACACCCAGGGAGCACUAAUGAGCUCUCAUUGAAGAUGUUAAAAAGCUUGUAUUGAUCUGUUUGUCCAAGAAGGAGAUAUUGAAGCCAAAGGGAUAAGUCUACUCUGGCAGAGUAGAGAGGCGUGGCCACAGGAUCGCUUUCCCGAUUCAUAGCCUUCACAAGACCCUAGACUGCACAGAUCAUGGGAAGACGAAUGCAGAUGAGCAGUCAUGAUACCCUUGCUCGCCCACCCUCAGUUCCAGACAUACCAACACCUCCAGAUACUAACAGGUCAGGCACUACAAUGCCAGGAAUGGACUUGUAGGACCCAUGUCAGCAAGUUCUGAGUUCCAGCAACUCCAAGCAGCUGGGAUCCUGGCCUAGAAAACAAGGUUUCUCACUAAUACCAAAGGUGUUGGACCCGGAGCAAGAAGAACUCCAUCAUGGGUUCCCUCUAGACUCCCUCUGUGACCCCAAGUUCUAGACACCAGUGACAGACAGAUGAGUUUCCUCACUCUUCCUAAAUUGGGCUGGAUUACAGGAUGGCUUUUUGUUGGA